GGCCCCGUAGCUCAGAUGGAUAGAGCAAGGACCUUCUAAGUCCGAGGUCGCAGGUUCGAAUCCUGCCGGGGUCGCCA
rnacentral:tRNA from 2 species